rnacentral:rRNA from 1 species
GUAGUUUGACUCCGUGGCUACGACGACGACGCUGGCCGGCGUGCCUAAUACAUGCAAGUCGAGCGGACGGAUGGGAGCUUGCUCCCAGAAGUUAGCGGCGGACGGGUGAGUAACACGUGGGCAACCUGCCCUAUAGUUGGGGAUAACUCCGGGAAACCGGGGCUAAUACCGAAUGAUAUAAGUUUAGCUCCUGCUAGAUUGUUGAAAGAUGGUUUACGCUAUCGCUAUAGGAUGGGCCCGCGGCGCAUUAGCUAGUUGGUGAGGUAACGGCUCACCAAGGCGACGAUGCGUAGCCGACCUGAGAGGGUGAUCGGCCACACUGGGACUGAGACACGGCCCCAGACUCCUACGGGAGGCAGCAGUAGGGAAUCUUCCACAAUGGGCGAAAGCCUGAUGGAGCAACGCCGCGUGAGUGAAGAAGGUUUUCGGAUCGUAAAACUCUGUUGUAAGGGAAGAACAAGUACAGUAGUAACUGGCUGUACCUUGACGGUACCUUAUUAGAAAGCCACGGCUAACUACGUG